AUGCUACUGCCUCCAUCCCAAAAUUCUUGUCUUAGAUAUUUUUAGAUAUGAAUGUAUCUAGUCACGCUUUGGUCUUUAGAUACACUCAUUUCUAGACAAAACUAAGACAAGAAUUUUGGGACGAAGGGAGUAUUAU
rnacentral:pre_miRNA from 1 species